GAUGAAGAACGUAGCGAAAUGCGAUAAGUAAUGCGAAUUGCAGAAUUCAGUGAAUCAUCGAAUCUUUGAACGCACAUUGCGCCCGCUAGUAUUCUGGCGGGCAUGCCUGUCUGAGCGUCAUUUCAACCCUCAUGCCCCUAGGGCGUGGUGUUGGGGAUCGGCCAAAGCCCGCGAGGGACGGCCGGCCCCUAAAUCUAGUGGCGGACCCGUCGUGGCCUCCUCUGCGAAGUAGUGAUAUUCCGCAUCGGAGAGCGACGAGCCCCUGCCGUUAAACCCCCAACUUUCCAAGGUUGACCUCAGAUCAGGUAGGAAUACCCGCUGAACUUAAGCAUAUCAAUAAGCGGAGGA
rnacentral:misc_RNA from 1 species